AAAAAAAAGCGUAAAAGUUAAUUCAAAUUGAUAUGGAGUUAAAACGAUCGCGUACGUUUGCCGCUAGGGGCGCUGUUCCAACUAUAUACAAAUUUGAGUUAACUUUUACGCUAUCGA
rnacentral:pre_miRNA from 9 species